CCUACGGGCUGCAGCAGUGGGGAAUAUUGCACAAUGGGCGCAAGCCUGAUGCAGCCAUGCCGCGUGUAUGAAGAAGGCCUUAGGGUUGUAAAGUACUUUCAGUUGGGAGGAAGGCGUUGAUGCUAAUAUCAUCAACGAUUGACGUUACUCGCAGAUGAAGCACCGGCUAACUCCGUGCCAGCAGCCGCGGUAAUACGGAGGGUGCAAGCGUUAAUCGGAAUUACUGGGCGUAAAGCGCACGCAGGCGGUCUGUCAAGUCGGAUGUGAAAUCCCCGGGCUCAACCUGGGAACUGCAUCCGAAACUGGCAGGCUAGGGUCUUGUAGAGGGGGGUAGAAUUCCAGGCGUAGCGGUGAAAUGCGUAGAGAUCUGGAGGAAUACCGGUGGCGAAGGCGGCCCCCUGGACAAAGACUGACGCUCAGGUGCGAAAGCGUGGGGAGCAAACAGGAUUAGAUACCCGUGUAGUC
rnacentral:rRNA from 1 species